UUUACUAGUUAAAGACCGAUAAGACUAGAGGGAAUAUUGACAAAUUAGCACACUGUUGCAACCUCUACUUAGUAUUCAAUCCCUACUUAUGUUCUAUUCGCUGAGCGCAAAAUUCUAAAAUUUCGCUGUUGCGCAUAAAUGCUUUGCAGUCCAACCCGCAGCUUAAGCGCACAACAAACUUGUCAAUCGCCGGCCAGUCGGUGUGCUACUGAGUGUGUGGCAGAACUUGCUCAGAUUGUCGGAAGUGUGAUUGUGUAAUUUAUUAACAAAUAAAUAAACAGGAACGCAUAACAAUGCGACAAUGCAAAGUUGCCUUCAGAAACCUUAUUCAUCGGUGCAAGAGCAUUACGACUAGACCUUUGUGCUGUGGCGUUGAGCUUCUGGGUAAGCAACAGCUGAUCCUGCCUUUAUAUACCUGCACCACUUCCAGCCCCAGGAACUACUCUAAGUUUAGCACCCACAUAACUACGGAGCGUGCGAUGAAUCUGCUAUGCAACCUGGACGAAGAGGAGCGCAGCAAUCUGCGUUCCGCACUUGAUAAAAUAGACGCCGACAAGGAAAAGAAGUUGUACGAGAGCGCCGUAGAUUUCGGCGGUCCACUGUGGUCAUCUGACACACGAGUCGUCAAUUUCGAGAGCCAGCUUGAACUUCGCCGGAUCGUUACACGUGUACUGCUUUGCUUUCUCAAGCCCGACCUCUGUAUCCAGAUUACCGUUGGCGCCAAGCAGCCCAAAGCUCUUCAUCACGCAUGCACGAAGGCAAUUGCCAGCAUAGGUAGCGGUGGGCUGCGUUUUGAUUAACUCCUGCAUGUCAGCGUCGACGGCAUUCACUUCAGUCAUACAGGAUUCCCGUUUUCGUCGAAACCGAGCACCAGGGCGGUGCCAAGGAGAAUAAUUGCCACAAGAAUAAAAGAGGAACAUUGAUGUUGGCCUGAUGUGCACGGACUGAACUUGUGCAAUCGACCGUUCUUGGGUUUUUCCAAUUAAUAGAAAAGCUAACGAAAUCAAGCGCCCCACAAGACACGAACGCCCAGACCUCUACGACACGGCCGGGGUUUCAACAUCAUCCCACAACGAUUGGUUAAUAUAAUACAAAAAAAAAAUGGGUCAAUCAAAAACGAUAUUUUCCAAAACGAUCUUAUUCAGGCGUGUCACAGAAAUCUCCUUCAUCCAACUUUCACCAAAACAGCAGUGUCUAAGAAACCGUUUCAAAAUUAAGUUAAUAUCAAAAUAAAAAGUUGGCUUUGCCAAAAGUUUUCCAAAACUAUACAGAUUCUGUAACACCAAAUUGUCAAAACAACCGUCCGUUAACCACAAAACUUCAAAAAUCGUCUGUACGAACGGAUACUAAAGCUAUGGUUUUGGCAUAAAGCAUGUAGAUUCUAGAGUUCAUUUCCGAAAGGUGCCACGCCCACUCUAACACCCACAAACCGCCAAGAACUGUGGAGCCCACAUUUAAAAAGAUUAAAAUGUAAAAUAAAUUUUCUUCUAUUCCGCUUCUCAACCCCUACCGCCACGCCGAGUAUUGUUAAAUUAUAAUUUACUAGUUAGUAAUGAUUUUACGCCCGUAUUUAACAAGAACAUCGUCUUUGACGUCGCAGCUAAUAGAUAAACGCGAAAGGUGUAAAAUUUUAUGUAGAUAAAAUGUAAAAAGUAUACUUAUUUUUAGCUGAGUAACGGGUAUUGGGCGGUUUGUGGGCGUUUGAUUGGGCGUGCCAACAUUUUUUUCGGAAAAAUAAAAAAGAUAUUAAAGACAGCAAUGCAUUUCAGCGUCUUAACACUCCUUUAAAGUCCCCAACACAAUAUCAUGCAGACCAACAUUUUUAUUUUGAGAAACUAACUUUUGAAAAGACCAUCGGGUUUAACAAAUGAUUUGUCAUUUGACUCGUUUUUUUCAUUAAAAUGUAAAGUAAGCUCAGAGACUAUCAUAUUGUGCCCCAUUAGUAGCUUCUUACCGCUCUUUCCCCUAGUCAUUCAAAUAAAAUGAAUUCUUGGAAUGCAGUUCUUUUAAUUUUUGCAAUACCUUUCGGUUGUUGUAUCAUUCGUUAUUACCGGACCAUCACAGCAGACUUUCAUAUUUUUGUGUAUAAUUUAAUAUAAAUAUGAAUAAAGGAAUUCAUAAGCAUUUAUUGAUGUGGUAGCCAGAAAUUGGACCGAAGGUGCCAAACUUAAAUGAAAGCAAUUUCUAAAUGACAAAAAAGCAGGGACCGUAAUCAUUAUGAGUUUUAUUGUAAAACU